GACGAACGGUGCGAACGUUGUUCGGAAUCACUGGGCUUAAAGGGCGCGUAGGCGGGCUAUCAAGUCCGGGGUGAAAUCCUCCAGCUCAACUGGAGAACGGCCUCGGAUACUGAUGGUCUCGAGGAGGAUAGGGGCACACGGAACUGUGGGUGGAGCGGUGAAAUGCGUUGAUAUCCAUAGGAACUCCGGUGGCGAAAGCGGUGUGCUGGAUCCUUUCUGACGCUGAGGCGCGAAAGCCAGGGGAGCAAACGGG
rnacentral:rRNA from 1 species